GAUGAACGCUGGCGGCGUGCUUAACACAUGCAAGUCGAACGGAAAGGCCACAGCUUGCUGUGGUACUCGAGUGGCGAACGGGUGAGUAACACGUGGGUGAUCUGCCCUGUACUUCGGGAUAAGCUUGGGAAACUGGGUCUAAUACCGGAUAGGAAUCACAUGUGGGUGUGUGGUUGGAAAGCUUUUGCGGUAUGGGAUGAGCUCGCGGCCUAUCAGCUUGUUGGUCGGGUAAUGGCCUACCAAGGCGUCGACGGGUAGCCGGCCUGAGAGGGUGUACGGCCACAUUGGGACUGAGAUACGGCCCAGACUCCUACGGGAGGCAGCAGUGGGGAAUAUUGCACAAUGGGCGCAAGCCUGAUGCAGCGACGCCGCGUGGGGGAUGACGGCCUUCGGGUUGUAAACUCCUUUCGUCAGGGACGAAGCGAAAGUGACGGUACCUGGAGAAGAAGCACCGGCUAACUACGUG
rnacentral:rRNA from 1 species